rnacentral:tRNA from 1 species
GUCAGGAUGGCCGAGUGGUCUAAGGCGCCAGACUCAAGGCAUUCUGUGCCUUCCCAAAGCACGUUGGGUAUUCUGGUCUCCAGAUGGAGGCGUGGGUUCGAAUCCCACUUCUGACA